GGNUUAUUGGGCGUAANCGAGCGCAGGCGGUUUUUUAAGUCUGAUGUGAAAGCCUUCGGCUCAACCGAAGAAGUGCAUCGGAAACUGGGAAACUUGAGUGCAGAAGAGGACAGUGGAACUCCAUGUGUAGCGGUGAAAUGCGUAGAUAUAUGGAAGAACACCAGUGGCGAAGGCGGCUGUCUGGUCUGUAACUGACGCUGAGGCUCGAAAGUAUGGGUAGCAAACAGGAUUAGAUACCCUGGUAGUCCAUACCGUAAACGAUGAAUGCUAAGUGUUGGAGGGUUUCCGCCCUUCAGUGCUGCAGCUAACGCAUUAAGCAUUCCGCCUGGGGAGUACGGCCGCAAGGCUGAAACUCAAAGGAAUUGACGGGGGCCCGCACAAGCGGUGGAGCAUGUGGUUUAAUUCGAAGCUACGCGAAGAACCUUACCAGGUCUUGACAUACUAUGCAAAUCUAAGAGAUUAGACGUUCCCUUCGGGGACAUGGAUACAGGUGGUGCAUGGUUGUCGUCAGCUCGUGUCGUGAGAUGUUGGGUUAAGUCCCGCAACGAGCGCAACCCUUAUUAUCAGUUGCCAGCAUUAAGUUGGGCACUCUGGUGAGACUGCCGGUGACAAACCGGAGGAAGGUGGGGAUGACGUCAAAUCAUCAUGCCCCUUAUGACCUGGGCUACACACGUGCUACAAUGGAUGGUACAACGAGUUGCGAACUCGCGAGAGUAAGCUAAUCUCUUAAAGCCAUUCUCAGUUCGGAUUGUAGGCUGCAACUCGCCUACAUGAAGUCGGAAUCGCUAGUAAUCGCGGAUCAGCAUGCCGCGGUGAAUACGUUCCCGGGCCUUGUACACACCGCCCGUCACACCAUGAGAGUUUGUAACACCCAAAGUCGGUGGGGUAACCUUUUAGGAACCAGCCGCCUAANNUGGGACAGAUGAUUAGGGUGAANUCNNAC
rnacentral:rRNA from 2 species